UAGUAUAUAUUGUGUGGCAGCAGCAAAUAUUUUUGCCACGUUGACAAAAAUUUUGCCCCCGUCAGCAAAAAUUGCAUAAUAUAUUUGUUGGAUAAUAUCAAAAUAUUGAUUUUUAAUUUGUAAAAUAUAAAAGAAUGUUUUUAUUUUUUUUUCUCACUGCAUUAAACAAUUUUAAUGCAUUACCAAUCAAUUUAACAUUGUUGAUAUGCUGGAUAUGGAAGUAGUAAAAGUAAAUUGAACAUUUAAAAAAAAAUUUCAUUUCAUUAAACAAUUUAACGCAUUACCAAUCAUUUAAAUUGUUGAUAUGCUGGAUAUGGAAGUAGUAAAAGGAACAUUUAAAACAAUUUGAGAGCUUUAAUUUGAUAAAAGUUUAAUUGGUAAAUAUAAUAAUUAACCCUAACCCUAACCCUAACCCUAACCCUAACCCUAACCCAAACAAAAAUAUCAUACAUUAUAAAUUAUUAUUAUUAUUAAUAAAACAUGGAUGAGAUAGAAUCAUGUGAAAAUAUAGCCAGACUUGAUAACAUAUUCGAUAUAAUAUAUGCAAAGUCAGUUUUUGACAAAGUCAACACCACAUGCACAGGAGGAAGACAAGGGUCUAGAUAAUAUUAAGAUCAUUCUUAUAAUGAUUUUUGCAUCUCUAGCAUGUGUUAUGCUCUUGUCGCUGAUGUUAUUUUGCAUCUGCAAAAAGAAGAGAACUGCAAAAACCAAUUUCCGCCAACACCAAUUCUCCUUCAAUGUCGAUGCAGAUUCACUAUCCGAAAUAGAAAUUGCAGAUUUUGUUAAUACACCAAAAAAAACUGUUUAAGUUAAUAUCUAUCUCUGUAUUUACUACUUUUUAAUUUGUAGAAUAUAUCCUCAUCGCAAUUUAUGAAAGGCUUCAAGAAAUUAUAAAUUAUUUUUUUCCACCACGUGAAAAUAACAGACGAGUAGCCCCAGCACAACAACAACCACCAAGAAUAUUGAGAAGAUCAAACAGGAUAUCUAUUCGGCCACAGAGACUAACCUAUGAUUAAUUUUCUAAACUUUUAAAUUUUAUGAAAUUUUUUAAAUUUUUUUUCUAAAUUUUAUAUUUUUUUUAUUUUUUUUUUUCUAAAUUUUAUAAUCUUUUUUCUAAAUUUUAUAAACUUAUUUAUACACUGUUAUCUAAAUUUUAAUAAUCACUGAUGAGGAUGUAUUCUACAAAUCUACUUAUAUUAUGAAAAAUUAUAUCACCAAAACUUUUCAAUUUUCUUUCAUUUGAUUUAUUUGGAUUAGUUACACUUUAUUUUAAUUAAAGAAAAGAUUUUGAUUAUACUCGCAUUUCUCUACUCUCAUUUUAUUAUAUUGUAAAUAGUAGUAUACAUGUAGUUUGUUUUUAUAAAUUCACCUUAGUUUAUAUGUUUCAUGCUCAUUCAAACCAUAAAUUUCAUUAUAAAUCUAUUCUUUUCAUUAAAUAAUCUACUUUCUCUGGUAUUAAAGUUCAUUAUUAAUCUAUUCCUUUCAUUAAAUUAUUCUUUUUAGUUUUCCAUUUACAUAUGUUUAGUUUUGUAAUAGAAAUAAAUUAAAUUAAAAAACAAAUAUGAUUGGUAUUAUUGUAUAUAUGUAAAUAAUAUAUAUAUGUAUAUAAUGUUUGGAGAACUUUUUGUUUUUAUGUUUACUUUAUCAUCAUUUUCAUCUUUGGAAUUUUUUCAUAUGAGAAUUUACAGCAUCCAAAUUUAAUUACAACAUAUUAUCGCAUAUUUUAUCAUAUUGUGUUUGCUUAAACUUUUUUUCUUUUGUUUUUAUUACUUUUUAUAGUGCUAUAUGAUUAAGUUAAACCUAGAGAUAAAUAUAUAAAAAUUCUUGAUUUGUAACCGCUGUCAUGGUGCUUUCUAUAACAUGUUUUAUGUGAAAAAAAUGGUGCAUUACAAAUGAUGUAAGUUUUUUAUAACCAAAUUUCAUUUGAUAGUUCUCUUGUUUAUAUUAUUUACAAUUGUUAUAUAAAUAGUGCAGAAAACUUGAUUUGUUUUGAAACUUACUAUGUUGUUUCAUGGAAUAAAGUAUUUGUAUUUGA